UUCCCGGCCCUCCGUGCGAGCUGGUCCCCGAGGGCCGGGUCCUGUGGCUGCCCUUCCCGUUCCCCGUGCGUGUUCACAACCCCAGAGCACCGGGAUCCUGGUGGCCCUCGGCCUGCAGCCGGAUGCAGAGGCCAACCUGCUGGCGCUUCCGACCACAGCCCUGACACCCAGAAACCACCGGAAUUUCGGAGGUGGCCCUGAGGCAUCAGUAGGAAGAACCAGGUCUCUCCCGCCAAUAGUGGUCCAUACUGCACAGGAUUUCUCCAAAGAUUAAAUGAGGUGAAGAUUUCUUUCUCAAGUUUCAUUAUGAAGCAUCUUUACCAGCACUCAGACUGUUUCGAGGUACAAGUCUCAGGCUCCAAUUUCAGUGACCAGUUCCCUGGAACCACUUUUUAUGAGCACAUCAUCUGGACCAGA